CAGUCGCCGGGUAAUACAGAGGGUGCGAGCGUUAAUCGGAUUUACUGGGCGUAAAGCGUGCGUAGGCGGCUUCUUAAGUCGGAUGUGAAAUCCCUGAGCUUAACUUAGGAAUUGCAUUCGAUACUGGGAAGCUAGAGUAUGGGAGAGGAUGGUAGAAUUCCAGGUGUAGCGGUGAAAUGCGUAGAGAUCUGGAGGAAUACCGAUGGCGAAGGCAGCCAUCUGGCCUAAUACUGACGCUGAGGUACGAAAGCAUGGGGAGCAAACAGGAUUAGAUACCCGGGUAGUCCCUGUCUCUUAUACU
rnacentral:rRNA from 1 species